rnacentral:rRNA from 1 species
GACGAACGCUGGCGGCGUGCUUAACACAUGCAAGUCGAACGAUGAUGCCCAGCUUGCUGGGUGGAUUAGUGGCGAACGGGUGAGUAACACGUGAGUAACCUGCCCCUGACUCUGGGAUAAGCGUUGGAAACGACGUCUAAUACUGGAUAUGACUGCCGGCCGCAUGUCUGGUGGUGGAAAGAUUUUUUGGUGGGGGAGGGACUCGCGGCCUAUCAGCUUGUUGGUGAGGUAAUGGCUCACCAAGGCGACGACGGGUAGCCGGCCUGAGAGGGUGACCGGCCACACUGGGACUGAGACACGGCCCAGACUCCUACGGGAGGCAGCAGUGGGGAAUAUUGCACAAUGGGCGAAAGCCUGAUGCAGCAACGCCGCGUGAGGGAUGACGGCCUUCGGGUUGUAAACCUCUUUUAGUAGGGAAGAAGCGAAAGUGACGGUACCUGCAGAAAAAGCACCGGCUAACUACGUGCCAGCAGCCGCAGUAA